rnacentral:rRNA from 1 species
CGCCCUGUAGCAGCAGCGCGGUAUACGUAGGUGGCAAGCGUUGUCCGGAAUUAUUGGGCGUAAAGCGCGCGCAGGCGGUUCCUUAAGUCUGAUGUGAAAGCCCACGGCUCAACCGUGGAGGGUCAUUGGAAACUGGGGGACUUGAGUGCAGGAGAGGAGAGCGGAAUUCCACGUGUAGCGGUGAAAUGCGUAGAGAUGUGGAGGAACACCAGUGGCGAAGGCGGCUCUCUGGCCUGUAACUGACGCUGAGGCGCGAAAGCGUGGGGAGCGAACAGGAUUAGAUACCCUGGUAGUCCACGCCGUAAACGAUGAGUGCUAAGUGUUAGAGGGUUUCCGCCCUUUAGUGCUGCAGCUAACGCAUUAAGCACUCCGCCUGGGGAGUACGGUCGCAAGACUGAAACUCAAAGGAAUUGACGGGGGCCCGCACAAGCGGUGGAGCAUGUGGUUUAAUUCGAAGCAACGCGAAGAACCUUACCAGGUCUUGACAUCCUUCGCUACCUCUAGAGAUAGAGGGUUCCCCUUCGGGGGACGGAGUGACAGGUGGUGCAUGGUUGUCGUCAGCUCGUGUCGUGAGAUGUUGGGUUAAGUCCCGCAACGAGCGCAACCCUUGACCUUAGUUGCCAGCAUUCAGUUGGGCACUCUAGGGUGACUGCCGGUGACAAACCGGAGGAAGGUGGGGAUGACGUCAAAUCAUCAUGCCCCUUAUGACCUGGGCUACACACGUGCUACAAUGGAUGGUACAAAGGGCUGCGAAGCCGCAAGGCUUAGCCAAUCCCAUAAAACCAUUCUCAGUU